GAGGAGGAGGAGGAGGAGGAGGGGGAGGGGGUUAGAGGCCGCCCCUGCCUCCACCAAUGACAUGAAAUCUGAGGUCAACCAUUCCAUGACCUAUUCCAGCAUUACUGACCCUACUACUGAUGACUAUGUUGGUGACAGAACCCUGGCAGGAGGAGGUGACGUUUUCUCGGACAUUCAGAGUGAGGGAGACCAUGACAGAGGACACAGAAGAAAGAGAUUGUGACAGGUGAAAGCCCUGAGAUUCCCCAGCCCAGUGGCAGCAGGGGAGGCGACGCACACCUCUGCCUCAGCCGCCCAUGGAUAGCUGACAGUCCUGAGAUCCUGUGGUUCAGUGGUGGCAGAGGAGACACACACCUCUGCCUUAGAAGUGCUACAACAAAGCCAGCCAUCUUUGAUCCACAGUGACUGACAGAGAAUGUGGAUGAGAGGACAGAAGAGCCAGUGUUCCAAGUACCACCACCAUCACCACUGCCACCACCACCACCACCAUCAGGAGCACAGAUUCACUGAAGUCUCUACCAAGAUUUCUUUGAGUUUUUUGAUAAAUUUAACUUCCAAGAGAGAGAGAGAGAGAGAGAGAGAGAGAGAGAGAGAGAGAGAGAUGAUUGUUACUGGUAGUGUGUGAAGCCUGCCCACUGUGCUUGUAUAUACAGGUGUGUGUGUGUGUGUGUGUGUGUGUGUUUGUUUGUUUGUUUGUUUGUUUCGUAUCCUUCACACUGCCUGCCCUAUCUAGCUUGCCACACUCCACGAAGCCAUUGACAGCCUUCUUCUUCCUUUCAUUUGUCUCUCCACAAUCCUACAAGCAGCACCACCAUCCACAUCCUGUCCUCUCCACUCUCCCUAACUCCAAAUCACUUGCAUCACAUCUCCGCCUAGUACUUCUGACACUGCAGUAUCAUGUGCUCCACCACCUCAUCCUCCCCAUGGCUCACGUUGCUGCAAGACUCACACCUGUAACUCCUUGCAUUCACAUCCAUACACUGUCCUUGCUUAGAAGAGAUCACCAGACAGGCUUCCCUCAUACCACCUUUCAUACAUUGAGGGUUCUUGUGUUCCAUCCUGUUCUUCUAUUCAUUCAGUUUAUCACUCCUCUGAUCUAUCUCACUUUUCCACCUUGUACCUCAAUGUAAUCUAUCCCUUGUUCUGUCAUGGUGAACCUGUCUCCCCUCCAAAGGUCACAGUAUGUUUGCUGUCUUCCAUUGAAUUGUGUCUCUUUCAUUUAAACUUUUCACUGUGAUGGGCAACAUUUCACUCCACUACAAGAAAUGAAUGGCUUCUUUAUAAUCAUCUUCAGGAAUGGAGAUAGGCAGAUUUUGCAGUUUCUGGCUAGUGCAAUGUUUGAAAGUGGCUGCAGAACAAGGAAACGUCCCACAGUGGUUAGUAUUUAAAUAAGGUAUGCCUAAUAGCAGUGAUCUGUUAUUUUAUUUAUUUAUUUAUUUAUUUUCAUUUUUUUAUUUAUUUAUUUAUUUUUUUAUUUAUUUAUUUUUUCAGUGCAAGAAGGGCCACAUGAUGCCAAGUCAGCCAGGUCCUCACACCUUCACCUGUUCACCCCUUCUCUGAUUUUCAUCCUGCUCUUCAUAUAUUUCAAGAAUAGAUUUGGUCCCUCUCUACAUUUGCCCUUAACAUUCUGCUCAUAACUUGCCCUGUCUUCUUCAGUAACCCCCACACACUCACCUCUCCCCAGCUGCUUGUGCGUGCGUGUGUGUGUGUGUUUGAGCAUGUUCUAUUCCUGUAUUUUUAUUUAUUUAUUUAUUUAUUUAUUUAUUUUUAUUUAUUUUUUUUGAAAGGCCACAGAUUAAUUAGGCCCUCAAGGGUGUUUUUUUUUCCUGUUUCUCUUUGUUAAACUAUCACUGGAAUCAUGAAAUCUCAUUAACUUCCAGUGUAACCUGUUAAACACACAGAGUGAGAGAGAGAGAGAGAGAGAGAGAGAGAGAGAGAGAGAUUUAAUCCUCUCACUGCUUCAACCAUCACCAUUCAAUUAGUCAUAAGAUUUUCAAACUGGUCGCAUUGUUAAAAAUUGUAAUUUGUAAAAAUAGAUUAAUAAAAUUAUCUGCCUCAAAA